ensembl:lncRNA
GCGGGGUGUCUCGGUAACGUCUAUUCAAUGCAGUAGCAGGAUCAGAGGAAAUUUUUGGUAUGCCAAUUUCGAUUUCCAAAAGUCUUAACGGGGGACCAUCUGGAACCUGCUGCUCGACAAAUCCCACAGUCACCGAAAGCCUCGAGAAUUUCCUGUGGACGUGGCCCCAUCUGCCCAGGAGCUCUGAAACCACUGCAGCCAACAUGUGCCCAUGCCAGGAGAUAUCUCUGUAUGCUGAAGAUGACAGAAUGAAAAGAUGGUGACCUCUCAGUCUUUGAGGAGAUUAAAAGGCCAAGAAUUAAUUCUAGGACUGCUCUAUCUGUAGACUUUCUAUUAUAUGAGAUACUAAGUGUCAUUAUUUAAGCCACUUCUAAUUGCAUAUUGUGUUUCUUACAGUAACAGUUUUCUGCAACUGACAACCUCUCUGGGUGGUACCUAGCCUCCAGAAAGCCUCCUCCAAUGAUCCUUACCUCCUGGUAUUCAUGUCUCUGUAUAAUCCCCUUCUACAUUGAAUCCAGGCUUGCUUUUGUGACUGGGAGAAUAUGGUGGAAAUAUAAAGUGUGACUUCCAAGUCUGCUUUAUAAAGACAUUGCAACUUCUGCCUUGAUCACUCUUGGAUAACUUGCUCUGGAAUCAGCCAGCUACAAUGUCAUGAGGACACCAGUCGGGCUUGUGAAGAAGCUUUCUUGGAGAAGAGUCAACUGGCCAGUACCAACUUGCCAGCAUGUGAGUGUAUGACCUUAGAAACAGAUCUUUCAGCCCUAGUCAGGCCAUCAGAUAACUAUACAUAUAGUUAUCAGAUUACUACAACCUCAUAAGAGAUUCCAAGCUAAGACACACAAUUGAGUUGCUCUCAAAUUUCUGAUUCAUACAAAGUUUGAAAGUUUCAGCCACUGAGUUUUGCAAUAAUUUGUUCCACAGCAAUUACUACCUGGUAGAGUACCCUUCGAUACCAGAAAAACGUGCCAAAGUCACCAGGGUGCUCAGAGUUAAUACUAUUUUGGGGGGCUUAGGAGCUGUCUUAAAAACAACCCUGGAAAGAACUAACAUAAAAUCAAGUAAAUGGACAACACAAAAAUAAGUGCCACAAAAAGAUAUUUUAAAAGUACAAUGUUCAAAAUAGAAUGAGACCACUUUCAAAUGGGAGUAUCAAAGAAAAACUGAUUUAAGGUGGGUCUCAAAGGAAAAAGUUUAGAUACAUAGUAACAGCAGGGACAAGGAGGUAUAAGAAUAUUCCAAGCAGUGGGUAUCACUUAAAUGAGAAUCGGUUUCUAGUGAGAACAGUGGCAAAAGCAUAAGGUAUAAGAAGGGAAAUGUAUUAGUUACCUAUGACCAGUAAUAAACUAUAGCAAAACUUAGUGGUGUUAAAUGAUACACAUUUAUUAUUGCUUAAUUCCGUGAGUCAGGAAUCCAGGCUGGGCUUAGUUGGGUCCUCUCAUGAAUGUAUUAGCUGGGGCUGCAGUCAUCUCAGGGUUCAACUGGGCAGGAUCAGCUUCCAUGCUUACUCUUGUGACUUGGCAGGCCUCCCUGGGCUGUUGCCAGAGACUUACUUCCUUGCCCUAGGGCAUCUCUAUAGGACAGUUCACAAGAUGGCACCUGGUUUCCCUCAAAGCAAAUGAGGGAGAGAGCAAGAGAGAACAAGAUGGAAGCCAGAACUCUUUGUAACCUAAUCUUAGAAGUAACAUACCAUUGCUUUGCUGAAUAGAAGCACAUCACUAGGUCCAAUCCACAUUCAAGGAAAGGGGGUUACAAAUAAGUAUGAAUAUCAAGUGAGGUUCAUUGAGGUCCAUCUCAGAAGCUACCUACAACAAGAAAUAGUAGGGGAUCAGGGUGAAAAUAAAGGCUAGUGCCAGACUUUCCAGAUGGCUUGAUGGGUUAAGAAUCCAGCUACAAUGCAGGAGACACAGGAGAUGCUGGUUCAGUCCCCAGGACAGGAAGAUCCCCUGGAGAAGGGCAUGGCAACCCACUCCAGUCUUCUUGCCUGGAGAAUCCCACGGACAGAGGAGCCUUGUGGGCUACAGCCCUCGGGGUCGCAAAGAGUUGGACACGACUGAAGCAACUGAGCAUGCACGCAGGCCACAGACUAGUGCCCCAUCAGAGAGAGCCGUGAAAG